rnacentral:antisense_RNA from 1 species
CUUGAUGGAGCCGAGCCACAGGGGCCGGUCGGCGGGCCGGUCCUGCCCGUAGGUGGCGAGCAGCGCCUGGGCCUC